GUCCACGCCGUAAACGAUGGAUACUAGCUGUUGGGAGUAAUCUCAGUGGCUAAGCGAAAGUGAUAAGUAUCCCACCUGGGGAGUACGUUCGCAAGAAUGAAACUCAAAGGAAUUGACGGGGGCCCGCACAAGCGGUGGAGCAUGUGGUUUAAUUCGAUGAUACGCGAGGAACCUUACCAAGGCUUAAAUGUAGAUUGACCGGUUUGGAAACAGACUUUCGCAAGACAAUUUACAAGGUGCUGCAUGGUUGUCGU
rnacentral:rRNA from 1 species